UACGAAGGGGGCUAGCGUUGCUCGGAAUCACUGGGCGUAAAGGGUGCGUAGGCGGGUCUUUAAGUCAGAGGUGAAAUCCUGGAGCUCAACUCCAGAACUGCCUUUGAUACUGAGGAUCUUGAGUUCGGGAGAGGUGAGUGGAACUGCGAGUGUAGAGGUGAAAUUCGUAGAUAUUCGCAAGAACACCAGUGGCGAAGGCGGCUCACUGGCCCGAUACUGACGCUGAGGCACGAAAGCGUGGGGAGCAAACCAGG
rnacentral:rRNA from 1 species